GAUAAGGUGGCUGAAUUUUAGGUUAUAAAUUGUAAAUUUAUAUAUGAGUUAAAACUCCUUUAUCA
rnacentral:tRNA from 1 species